rnacentral:rRNA from 1 species
AAAGCUCAACUUUGAAAUCUGGCUGUUUUACAGUCCGAAUUGUAGUCUCGAGAAGUGUUUUCCGCGUUAAACCGUGUAUGAGUCUGUUGGAACACAGCGUCAUAGAGGGUGAGAACCCCGUUCAUGACACGGCUUUUAAUGCUUUGUGAUACACUUUCGAUGAGUCGAGUUGUUUGGGAAUGCAGCUCAAAUUGGGUGGUAAAUUCCAUCUAAAGCUAAAUAUUGGCGAGAGACCGAUAGCAAACAAGUACCGUGAGGGAAAGAUGAAAAGCACUUUGGAAAGAGAGUUAAAAGUACGUGAAAUUGUCGAAAGGGAAACGCUUGAAGUCAGACGUGCACGGGAUUUAUUCCUAUUGCAGGCCAACAUCGGUUUUACGAGCCGGAUAAAGGUACAAGGAAGGUAGCAGUUUCGGCUGUGUUAUAGCCUCGUACUGAAUACGGAUUGUGUGAUCGUUGGACGCAGCGCGCCGCAAGGCAAAGGGUCCGCCCUUUUCGCGCUUAGGAUGUUGGUGAAAUGGCUUUAAUCGACCCGUCUUGAAACACGGACCAAGGAGUCUAACAUGCUUGCGAGUGUUUGGGUGUCAAACCCAUACGCGUAAUGAAAGUGAAUGGAGGUGGGAUCCUUUACCGGAGCACCAUCGACCGGCCUGGAAGUUUACUGAUAGGUCUGAGUAAGAGCACGUAUGUUGGGACCCGAAAGAUGGUGAACUAUGCCUGAAUAGGGUGAAGCCAGAGGAAACUCUGGUGGAGGCUCGUAGCGGUUCUGACGUGCAAAUCGAUCGUCAAAUUUGGGUAUAGGGGCGAAAGACUAAUCGAACCAUCUAGUAGCUGGUUCCCUGCCGAAGUUUCC